GACGAACGCUGGCGGCGUGCUUAACACAUGCAAGUCGAACGGAAAGGCCUGCUUUCCCUUGUGGAUUGCGGGUACUCGAGUGGCGAACGGGUGAGUAACACGUGAGUGAUCUGCCCCCAACUUGGGUAUAAGCCUGGGAAACUGGGUCUAAUUCCCGAUAGGACUGCAGGGUGGUGCCUGUGGUGGAAAACGAUUUUCUAGUGGUUGGGGAUGAGCUCGCGGCCUAUCAGCUUGUUGGUGGGGUAAUGGCCUACCAAGGCGGCGACGGGUAGCCGGCCUGAGAGGGUGGACGGCCACAGUGGGACUGAGAUACGGCCCAGACUCCUACGGGAGGCAGCAGUGGGGAAUAGUGCACAAUGGGCGGAAGCCUGAUGCAGCGACGCCGCGUGGGGGAUGACGGCCUUCGGGUUAUAAACUCCUUUCGACCGCGAGGAAGCCACCUGGUUGGAAGGGUGGUGACGGUAGUGGUAGAAGAAGCACCGGCUAACUACGUG
rnacentral:rRNA from 1 species